AGAGAGAGACAUGCGCGCAUAUCAAUAAGCGGAGGAAAAGAAACUAACAAGGAUUCCCUCAGUAACGGCGAGUGAAGCGGGAAGAGCUCAAAUUUGAAAUCUUCAAGGUUCUACCUUGACGAAUUGUAGUUUAAAGAAGUGUUUUCUGCUGAAGUUUUGGUAAAAGUUCUUUGGAAUAGGACAUCAUAGAGGGUGAGAAUCCCGUAUUUGACCAUUAUUUUCAGCUUUGUGAUACACUUUCAAAGAAUCGGAUUGUUUGGGAAUGCAGUCCAAAAUGGGUGGUAAAUUUCAUCUAAAGCUAAAUAUUGGCGAGAGACCGAUAGCGAACAAGUACCGUGAGGGAGAGAUGAAAAGAACUUUGAAAAGAGAGUUAAACAGUACGUGAAAUUGUCAAAAGGGAAGCGUUUGACACCAGUGUUGUUUUCUCGAAAAUCAAUUAAAAAUGGCUCGAUUUUGUAUUGUUGAGACCUUAAAAGCUCACUGUACAUUUUUCGUGUCUUUUUUAAUGCACUUUUCGUUUAACAAGUCAACAUCAGUUUCUUUUGUUGUAAAAGGGUCAUUGGAAGGUGGCUUUCUUUUCGGAGAAAGUGUUUAUAGCCUUUGGCCUCUGCAAUCGAAGAGACUGAGGUCUGCAGCGUAGACUCUUCGGGGUUAGAUACAUUUGUGCUAGUUAUAGCUUUUUAUAGACAACUUGUUGACUAUAAUUAGUCUUGUAGCUUACUCGCUUAUGCUAUUUUACCUACGCUUAGGAUGUUGAGUCGUAGAGCACGCAG
rnacentral:rRNA from 1 species